GGGGCCCGCCCGGCUGGGCGGGGGGGGCGGCAGCGGCCGGGGCGUCCCGCGGGAGCCGGGGAAAAGAAGACACCUCCAAAUGGAAAUGCCAUUCCAUCAGUUUAUCCUUGGGGGAUCAUUCUGUGCUGCCAGAACAGAGCCAAGAGCAACCUAAAAAUGCAACCUAAAUGUCCCAAGCUUCUCCACUCCACAAAAAGGGGAUUUGAGGCUGUUUUUUCAUGGAAUUCCAACAGCCCCGGGCACUGCAAUUGGCCUUUGGGAUGAGAAGCAAAUUCCAAUUUCCCCGGAUCAUGGCAAGGACCUUUCUUUAUUAAAUUUUAGUGAACUUCA